rnacentral:rRNA from 1 species
UACAGAGGGUGCGAGCGUUAAUCGGAAUUACUGGGCGUAAAGCGUGCGUAGACGGUUACGUAGGUCGGAUGUGAAAGCCCCGGGCUCAACCUGGGAAUUGCAUUCGAGACUGCGUAGCUAGGAUGCGGAAGAGGGAAGCGGAAUUUCCGGUGUAGCGGUGAAAUGCGUAGAUAUCGGGAGGAACACCAGUGGCGAAGGCGAUCUUCUGGACGGAUACUGACGCUGAGGCGCGAAAGCUAGGGGAG